GACGAACCGUGCUAACGUUAUUCGGAAUCACUGGGCUUAAAGCGCACGCAGGUGGCUGAGUCAGUCGAUUGUGAAAGCCCUGGGCUUAACCUGGGAAUUGCAGUCGAUACUACUCAGCUAGAGUAUGGGAGAGGGCAGUGGAAUUCCCGGUGUAGCGGUGAAAUGCGUAGAUAUCGGGAGGAACAUCAGUGGCGAAGGCGGCUGCCUGGCCCAAUACUGACACUCAGGUGCGACAGCGUGGGGAGCAAACAGG
rnacentral:rRNA from 1 species